rnacentral:rRNA from 1 species
ACGCUCGACACCUACGUGAGGCAGCAGUGGGGAAUAUUGCACAAUGGAGGAAACUCUGAUGCAGCGAUGCCGCGUGAGGGAAGAAGGUUUUCGGAUUGUAAACCUCUGUCUUUGGGGACGAUAAUGACGGUACCCAAGGAGGAAGCUCCGGCUAACUACGUGUCAGCAGCCGCGGUAAUCUGAGCGGGCUGGCAAGGC